CUCCGAGUGUGCAAUGCCUGCCUGCUCGGGAGCGCAGCGUCCUUCACAGCGGAUUGGUUCCUCUUUCGGAGCAGAGCUUACAAUCCAUAGUGCUUAAUAGACGGAUGAAAGACAGGAUCCCUGCCCUAAAGGGUAUAAAAAUCUAAACUGAGAUGCAAUUGUGGAUACAAGGACUGGAGGAGGGGAAAACAGAAGAUAAAGGUUGUGCCAAAACCUCUUGAAGAUGAAUAGCUUUGUGUGCUAAGUAUGAAUGAUCAGAAACAGCUGC